rnacentral:misc_RNA from 1 species
AAAACAUCUCCCUCAAUCUGAAAAUAUCAACACAUUUCACAAGCACAAGGAUAUAUAAAUAAAACAGUUCACACGGAAAUAUAACUAAAAUUGUUUUCCCAGUGAAAAAUAAAUACAUUAUCAUGAAGCUUGAACAAAGAAAGAGAGUGUUAGCCAAAAUCAGUGGCUGUUAAUCUACCCUCCACAUGUAUACCUUUUUCAGUAAUUGCCAUUAAUGCCCAAAAUAAGAAACCAAAGAAUUAAUUUUCCAUCUACUAAUGUCACUCAAGAUGCAAAAUUUAGGAAAAUGAUUUUGAACACUUAAGACACUUGCAAGAAAACCACUUAAAACACACUUUGAGCAAAUAUGAUGGGAAUAAUUAUUUCCAUCUCCCAUUGGACAAGAAACAAAUAUCAUAUAAAGAUCUACUCCAGUAUAUAACCAACCGACUAGUGAAGAAAAUUAACAGCCAAGAGAUUGAUAAACCAUUGCAACAACCAUAUUUUGAAGAUGUAAACCAGUCUUUUAGUUCCUUUCCCAUAAUUGGAAUACAGAACCCCAUCAGAAAAUUCAAUUUAAGAAAACUCACCAUGUUUCCCUUAGAUUAACUUGCAAGCCCUACUAUUAUACAUUAAGCAUUUUUUGCCAAACAAAGUGUAAUGUAAUGUAAACAGCAUCACUUUGCAGUGCACAAUGCAAUAUUUAAUUUUUGCAACUUACACUGGGGAAAAAUCGUAACAAUUCAGCAAAACAUUCAAAAAUACCUGCUCUAUGAUCGCAAUACUGAAUUUAAACAAUCCCUGGAAUCCAAAAACUAAAAACCACAAAUACAAUUCUGAUAAACUGAAAUAUUUAGCACAUGACAUAUAAAUCACAACAGGUAGAAAUCAAUAGUAACACAUGCAAUUAUGUUCCAAAAGAAAGGUUCAAAUCCCAAUUGCACCCUUUCACUAGCGAUACCUAAGGUUCAAACACCAAUUCAAUAACCAAUACCCAAUUUAUUUAUGAACAUACACAAAAAUGCAGUCAUUAAGCAUGCAAAAUUCCUAGCUUUUAAUGCUUAACAUUAUUCUACAGAACCAAUCGCCUAAUUCAAAAAUUCCAAGUUAGUAGUUCACAUUGCACAGAACAUAAUCUGAAUUUAAACACCAAACUUACUAGGAUUGUGAAAGCAACUUAUUUAAUGAAACCAAAAAACUAAUUCAACAACCCCAAUAAAUUCAACAUUUUCCUUACCUCGACCAUCUCCUCCGUU